GACGGAGGGGGCUAGUGUUAUUCGCAGUUACUGGGCGUAAAGGGCCUGUAGGUGGUGUUUUAAGUUGUGUACACUGUAAUUGGAGUGAUUUGAUGGGUGGAUGCAAAACUGGGAUGCUAGAGUGAGGGGGAAGACAGUGGUAUGCUCAAUGGAGGGGUAAUAUCCAAUGAUAUUGAGUGGACCAGCGAGAGGCGUAGGCGACUGUCUACAACUAUACUGACGCUGAGGGGCGAAAGCGUGGGGAGCAAACAGG
rnacentral:misc_RNA from 1 species